UUCGGGUGAGCGAUUAAAAGGGAAUCAGGUGAGACUCCUGAACAGUCCCGCUGCUGUAAGUUUACAUCCACCGCAGAUGCAAAUCCUUUUGCCACUGGCCACCGUGCCGGGAAGGCGCAUCUGGGGAAACAAGUCAGAAGACCUGCCCGUGCUUG
rnacentral:ncRNA from 1 species